rnacentral:lncRNA from 1 species
UCUGCCUUCUUUAUUUACUACCUUGUGAUAUAUUUAACCACCAUAAAGCACUUGUGUCACCAUAAAGCACAUACAGAAGUGACAACAUUUCAGUUUCUUCAUCUCCAAAAAGAAUAUAGGCACAGAAAUUAAAUGAUAAGAUGACAGUAAGAAUUAAAUGCUUACAAAUAGAAUUAUAAGUUUCAAGAACAUAAUAAAUAAGGUAUUAAUGCUAGCUACUAUUGCUAUCCAAUAUAUUGGAGUAUACUAAGAUCUUUCCCACCUCAAUCUCUUAGUACAUUAUUCUCCACAUAAUUUGGUCUCUCUUAUAACUCCAGGGGCUCAAUAACACUAGCUGAAUGAAUGAAUGUUUGGAUUAUCAUUAUUCAUUUUCUUAGUAAUAAUAUUAGCAUUAGGCUUUAUUAAUUCACUAGUCAAGAAUUUUCAUGAUUUCUUUAUAGAUAGUUAAAGACCUCUUAUGAAGCAUUAUUGUUUUCUCAAAAAUCUGCCAUUAGCAUUGGAAGGAAUUGUAAUUGAGCCCCCAUCUUGCCUGUGGUAAAACUCAUUUACAUCAUCUUCCAAAAGACAACUAAUGAUGAGCAGAAAAAUAUUACAUUCAGAAGAAUCUGUUUCAAAAUGCUUUAGGCAGGACUUUCAAAUAUGAAAACAAUUCUUCGACAACAUUUUAAAGGGAAAACACUAAACUAUUCAUUGCAACCCUGCACACUUGAUUUUUGCAGACCUUCGACUGACUCAACAACUGUCGUUUGACCCAGAUAUCUUUGUAUGAUGUGUCUUUACAAAGGCCAUAGCAAAUAUUUCAACCAACUUCCUCAAGAUAUAAGCGGAAAUGUAGCACAGGAUUAAAAUACCAGGUGUGAAAUAUGGAAAUCGGAAAAACACAACAGUGUGGUGGAAGGAGCACUAUAUCAGAGCAAAUAGUGACAUUUUCUGCUGCUGCUGCUUCUACUUCCGUCUACAUAUUCCAGGAUCUCUUCAAUCUGUGAGUCAUUCUAUACCAUGUCAUUACGAUAUACAUUCGCACAGUUAGCACUGCCUGACUGAGCUUUUCCUCCUCUUCUUUGCUGUCUCUUUUUCUCUUUCCCUGUUGUUUUAUCUUAUAAGCUCCAAUAGCUCUCUUUAUGGGUAAUAAAGAUGGAAGAAAAACACUCUCCAUCUUAUAUUUUGUAAUUUUAAAAUUUAGGUUGUCAUAGCAAUGUGAUAAAAUUUUUAAAAUAGAAAAGAUUUUCCUUAUCCACAGCAGAACUUUUUUCUGUUUACACAUACAUAGAAGUAUUUAAAUGGGAAAAUUUUAUGAAAAAAUCAGUUUGUACACAGAACUUUAAAAAUCCACAGUACACAUAAAUAAAAGGAACUUCAAAUAUCAAAGUUUGCAAUUUAAUUUUAAAAAGUUAAACUCAGCUGUUUGUAUUUUAACAACUAAUAGUCAGCAUGUUUUUAUCCAGUCAUUUAUUUACAUCUAGCAUUAUUGUAUAUAUCGAUUGGAUUCACGAGCGUCAUAGAAACAGACUUUGAAGUAAAUUAGGCUUCAAAUCCAAUUGUUUAAUUCUCUCAAAUAACAGAUUUAAAAAACUGUUAUUUCAGGAAAUUGUAUAACUUCCAUUAUUUUAUUUUCAGACAUAGUGCCAUCCUACAAGACCCUCAAUGUCAGCCACUGUAUUUGUUGAUUUACGUUAUCUCAAAUUUUUAAAAUCCCCCAAAGUAGGAACAUUUUUUCUAAUGUAUUAGGCAACUGAAGCCCAGAGAAAAUGAGACAUUUGAGAA